rnacentral:rRNA from 1 species
AGCGAACGCUGGCGGCAGGCUUAACACAUGCAAGUCGAACGCCCCGCAAGGGGAGUGGCAGACGGGUGAGUAACACGUGGGAACGUACCCUUUGGUUCGGAAUAACUUGGGGAAACUCAAGCUAAUACCGGAUAAGCCCUUAUGGGGAAAGGUUUACUGCCGAAGGAUCGGCCCGCGUCUGAUUAGCUAGUUGGUGAGGUAAUGGCUCACCAAGGCGACGAUCAGUAGCUGGUCUGAGAGGAUGAUCAGCCACACUGGGACUGAGACACGGCCGGACUCCUACGGGAGGCAGCAGUGGGGAAUAUUGGACAAUGGGGGCAACCCUGAUCCAGCCAUGCCGCGUGAGUGAUGAAGGCCUUAGGGUUGUAAAGCUCUUUUACCCGGGACGAUAAUGACUGUACCGGGAGAAUAAGCCCCGGCUAACUUCGUGCCAGCCGCCGCAGUAA